rnacentral:rRNA from 1 species
GCUCGUAGUUGGAUCUCUAACGCACGCGGCCGGUCCGCCCCUCACGGGGUGUUCACUGCGCCGUCGUGCGUUAUCCUGGGGGAUAGCGUCCCGCGCAUUAGGUUGUGUGGGUCGGGAUCCUCCACGUUUACUCAAAAUAAAUAAGAGUGUUCAAAGCAGGCGAUUGCUGUGAAUUCUUCAGUUGGGAAUAAUAAGAUAGGACUCGGGGACUAUUUUGUUGGUUUGCAUCUCCGAGUAAUGAUUAAUAGGGACAGUUGGAGAUAUUCAUAUUCAGUUGUCAGAGGUGAAAUUCUUGGAUUUACGGAAGAUGAACUACUGCGAAAGCAUUUAUCGAGGAUGUUUUCUUUAAUCAAGAACGAAAGUUAGGGGAUCGAAGAUGAUUAGAUACCAUCGUAGUCUUAACCAUAAACUAUGCCGACUCGGGAUCGGUGGACGUUACUUUAAUGACUCCAUCGGCACCGUAUGAGAAAUCAAAGUCUUUGGGUUCCGGGGGGAGUAUGGUCGCAAGGCUGAAACUUAAAGGAAUUGACGGAAGGUCACCACCAGGAGUGGAGCCUGCGGCUUAAUUUGACUCAACACGGGAAAAUUUACCAGGUCCAGAAAUAGUAAGGAUUGACAGAUUGAGAGUUCUUUCUUGAUUCU